rnacentral:lncRNA from 1 species
GUACUAACGAGGGGAAAUCCCUAAGGGUCUAGCGUUGGACUAGCCCAUUCUAUGAAUUCCUACUAGCGUUGGACUAGCGGAAACGUACAUUCAUCCAUCACAUUCAUUCAUGGCUAUGGAAAGCGAGUAGACAUGCCAAACACUCAUAAACACAUAGCACAUAACAUUUAGCAUGCUCGACUAGAUGCAAGGUCCUAACAAAGCAAAUUAACACGUAGCAACUAAGCAUGCAAGACACAUAAGACAAUUAAAGCCCUAACUAUUACAU